GGGGACUUCAGUGAGGACGGUGACUCAGGAAGGCUUUAAUGGAGCGGCCUCAGAAGCGACAGUGAGCCCCUGCAUGGUCGACACAGAUAUGACCCAUCCCGUGAAAUUCCGGCAGCUCCUAGCGAAUUCCGAAGACUUUGCUCCGCAGGCGUUGGACACCCUUGGCCUCACCUCCCAAACCUCUGGGUGCUUCAGCCACGCUAUACAGGGUGUCCUGCUGGAUCUCCUCCUGCCCAUAUGGUUUGCUCUCAGUCGCUGGGGAGUAAAGCAUUUAUUUCUGUUGUGGAUAUACUCUGAUAAAAGAAAAACGCUCUCUGAUAAAAGGCCUUGAA